rnacentral:misc_RNA from 1 species
UCCGGUUUGUCACCGGCAGUCCCAUUAGAGUGCUCAACUGAAUGUAGCAACUAAUGGCAAGGGUUGCGCUCGUUGCGGGACUUAACCCAACAUCUCACGACACGAGCUGACGACAGCCAUGCAGCACCUGUGUUGCGGUUCCCUUUCGGGCACUCCUGCAUUUCUGCAGGAUUCCGCACAUGUCAAGGGUAGGUAAGGUGGGGAUGACGUUCGUUACCUUA